rnacentral:rRNA from 1 species
GACAUACUAAGAACUUUCCAGAGAUGGAUUGGUGCCUUCGGGAACUUAGAUACAGGUGCUGCAUGGCUGUCGUCAGCUCGUGUCGUGAGAGUGUUGGGUUAAGUCCCGNAACGAGCGCAACCCUUUUCCUAUUUGCCAGCGGGUCAUGCCGGGAACUUUAAGGAUACUGCCAGUGACAAACUGGAGGAAGGCGGGGACGACGUCAAGUCAUCAUGGCCCUUACGGCCAGGGCUACACACGUGCUACAAUGGUCGGUACAAAGGGUUGCUACCUCGCGAGAGGAUGCUAAUCUCAAAAAGCCGAUCGUAGUCCGGAUCGCAGUCUGCAACUCGACUGCGUGAAGUCGGAAUCGCUAGUAAUCGCGGAUCAGAAUGCCGCGGUGAAUACGUUCCCGGGCCUUGUACACACCGCCCGUCACACCAUGGGAGUUUGUUGCACCAGAAGUAGGUAGUCUAACCGCAAGGAGGACGCUUACCACGGUGUGGCCGAUGACUGGGGUGAAGUCGUAACAAGGUAAGCGUAGAUGA